GGUCAGGACGAACGCUGGCGGCGUGCUUAACACAUGCAAGUCGAACGGAGUUAGACGCUGAAUGAGGCUUCGGCGGAUUCUGUCUAACUUAGUGGCGGACGGGUGAGUAACGCGUGAGUAACCUGCCCUCGAGUGGGGAAUAACGUUCUGAAAAGGACGCUAAUACCGCAUAACACAUAGAGACCGCAUGAUCUUUAUGUCAAAGAUUUAUCGCUCGAGGAUGGACUCGCGUCCGAUUAGCUUGUUGUGGGGUAACGGCCCACCAAGGCGACGAUCGGUAGCCGGACUGAGAGGUUGAACGGCCACAUUGGGACUGAGACACGGCCCAGACUCCUACGGGAGGCAGCAGUGGGGGAUAUUGCGCCAAUGGGGGAAACCCUGACGCAGCAACGCCGCGUGGAGGAUGACGGUUUUCGGAUUGUAAACUCCUUUUAUGGGGGACGAACCAAGACGGUACCCCAUGAAUAAGCUCCGGCUAACUACGUGCCAGCCGCGGC
rnacentral:rRNA from 1 species